rnacentral:lncRNA from 1 species
AUGGAGGAGCUUAUUAUCGAAAAAGUACUGGAUGGUAUUAUGGAAACUCGGACGGUCGGGGGAGUUUAGAAAGACGCCACACAAGGUCGGAAGCCGAAAGAGCCCUGGAAGGGUUGGCCUUUUACGAACUUCGGUUGGGGUUAUUUUAUACCCAACAACAGCAGACAAGAUAUGCGAUAAAAUUUUGGGGACCAGACCAGAUUAUGUCUAUAGUUUGGGAGUUGGAUCUCAUCCAAAAGGAAAGAGUUUCUCUUUUAUGUCUAAGAAGAAACUUCAAAAGGAGUUGGAGCAAUCGCAAAAGCAUAAUCAAAAAUAAAGAAUGAGAUUGUAGACAUUAAGGCGUAGAUGGAGCGUCAACAAAAAAU